GAAAACAUGGUUCCUUUUGGUUUAAAAUGAGUAAAUACUCCAGGAUUUAAAUUUGGGCAGUUCACACUUCCUUUCUAAGGUUCCUCUCUCCUGGUAAGGGUGGUUUUCCUCCCUCCCCAGAGCACCUGCUCCUGAGGUGUUACCUGGGUCCCGCAGCAGCUUUGUACCUCCUCAUGGCUCCUGUCAUGGCUGUGGGUGAGGCCUUGUGGUCCAGGUAUAAAAAGACUUUAUACAGAGUUGAAAUUAUGUGGACAAAGGCAUGAGUGGAUACUGGAAUUAUUCACUUAAAAAACAGUGGGGGCUCUUGAAUUGCAUAAAUAUCGAUAGAGUGAGUAUGGGUAAAGCAAUUCUCUCCCAGCCUUCAUGGAAAAAUCUUCACUGCCUUUGGCUCUGCUUUUAAAAUCUGAACUGACCUUAUCAGACCAUCCGAGCCCACAGAUGGGUGAGAAUGGGAGCAGUGGUUUUGGCCUUGGUCAGUUUGGAAUCUUUGGCCAUAACUGAGCUUCAGAUUGUCUUAAGGGAUGGAGUCAGUCAGCAUGUUACUAAAUUGUUUCUGUUGAAUUUAUUGCUGAGGGCACUUAUUGAGGUUUCCAUCCUGAUUGACCUUCACAAACCAGUGAUUUUUAAAGGCUGUCACACCUCUGGGAGCCAGACUCAAGGACAGUUUUCAUGGAGCUAAAAGCUAUGGGUUAAACAUGUGAGCCUUAGGGAUAUACAGCUAAACAAAGCCCAAUGUAUGAAUUUCCAAAUUUGUCUCAUAGCAUAACAGCAUACAUACUGAAUGUCUAUUUUUCUUUUCUCUCUCUCUCUUUUUAAAAAUUAUACCUAUUCCACCAUGUGUAUUGAGGACAGAUUCUAAGAUCUGGUAGGCUCCAUUUUCCUGUACUCCCAUGUAAGCAAUACAGAAAGUAGCCAAUCUUAGAGCACUGAGAUUCUGUUCUGCUUAUGAGGCUCAGGAAGGGAACUUAGCUGGGUUUCUUGCUUCCUGAGACCCAUGUUGUGUGUUCCUUGGAUUUCCUGGCACACCCCACAUUGAGCAGUCCCUGGAAAAUCCCAACUCCACAGUGCAUGGAGGGGAAGACAGGUAGAGAUGUCCUCACCUUCAGGGCCAGACACUCGGAUACGCAGAUGUGUCACAGCCAGGACCAGGGAGUGAAUCUUCUUUAUUUCUUAGAUCUGCAGCUUGGAGUCUAGCCCAGCUUGUCCUCUCAUAUACUGGAGCCAACAUGUUAUCCUUAAUGGUUUCAUAAGGUCUUCAUUUCAUGUUAUCAGCACAAAUCUAGGGACCAAAUAUUUUUGACACCAAAGUCUUGUGGGUUCAGAAGAGACAUUACAACUCUUCACAAAGUCCAAGUUAGGGGUAAAGGAGAGAGAUCGAUUUUGAUAUGUGUUGAUACCCUUGGAGGAGAGGUACAAUAUGAAAUACAUAAAUAUGUUUCCUUACAUCUUUGGGUGUACUCUCCCAUAAAAUUUUAGUUGUUCCAACAUUUAAGCCUAAUUUGAGGUUGUUAUGCUUCAUUUUAAUAGUGAGAUGGAAAAACACAACAUUUAUCUUGAAUCUAUAGUUCCUGAAAUUCAUGUUAUUAUAGUUGUCUUUUAUAGAGGUGUAGCAAUAGAUAGUGUAGCAAUAGAUAGUUUUAGCAUCAAAUGUAUUUAGUGUUUCUGGUAGGCCCAUUCCAAUUAGAAAUGGUAUAGUAUAUGGUUAUAUUUAUAGAUAGCACAAGGGGGCAUUUAACUUACUACAUCAUCUUGGUAUGCUAUUCCUUUUUUUUGAAAGAUGACUAAAAUUUUCUUUGAAUAUUUUUAUCAAUACCUCUUUUAAAGCUGUUACACAAAUCUGAAAUCUCAGUGGUCCGAAUGGCCAUGACAUGUAAGGGAAAAAAAAUCUCAUUGAUGAAUUGUUCUAGAUUUUUGGGCACAUGGGUUAAAAUCCAUACACAAGGAGUAUCUCAGCUUUGGUUUGUUAACCUGGUGAAAUCGGGCAUACUGCCUUGCACAUUUGAGAUGGGGGCACAGCCUCAGGUCUGGCCAGCUGAGGGCUGUAAGGUUAGAGGUGGCUGUCCUACCCUGGCUGUCCUUGGAGGGCGUCCUCCUUUAUCUCUUAGGAGAUUCCUGCUCUGUCAGCAGAGAAGUGUUGCUAAUCCUACCAGGGCUUGCCUGGCUUCUGAAGGGUUUCUCUCUAUAGACAGACUACCUCGUGCUUAUGUAGGGCCAAGUUAGAAAUAAAUAAGAGAGGGGCCGCUGGCCUAAAAAUAGUCACAGCUUUACGGAGAGGGCCUAGAUGGCCCAGAGCCACUGCCACCUUCCUGCUGCCAGAAGAGGAUCACAUAGGAGGGAAGGAGGCAGUGGAGUGGGAUUGGUGUGUUGUCCAAAGACAGGUGCUAAGAGUGUGGAGAAGUAUUUUCUUCUUGGCUUGCAUAAGGGGAGGUAAAAGCUUGAAUGAUUGAUUUAAAAAAAAUUUUAGGAACAAUGAAAGUAAACAUUGAGUUUAUUUUAUGAGGUUUGGCUUACUGGGAUAUAUUUCUAAUUGAUUCUAAUUUGCAGAAAACACUUUUGUAUUUCCUGUUAAUCACCGUCAGUCUCAGAAAUCGAAACAGUAACAUGUUUGUUUCCUAUACUGCCUCGGAGCACAAAGCGGACCAUUGUUUGAAAACUAGUAGACAACAGGACAUAGAAACAAAAACCUAUCCGUUUUAAAUUGAAGUUGAUGGGAGGAUUCUUUAAUAUUCUUACUAAUAACUCUUUGGAUAUGGAAAGGGUCCAGAUUUUAUGUUGAAGUCAUGUAGGCUAGAAGAAACUUCAAUUGGAAAUCGAGACACAAAAUAAUCCUUACAGAAUGGCAGCUGUUUUUCUGAUUGGGUGUAAGGCAUUUUGCAACUAAAUAUUUCUUUGGGAGACUUCUUUGUUCUAUUCCAGAUAGAACCAGAUCACUUUAGAAAUUGUGCAGUUAAGCAAUCCGUGGCCAAAGGGCAAGAGCACCCUUCUUCCCUGGAAGCCUUCAGGGUAAUUGAUUAGAUAAGAGGAGAACACGUACUGAUUUAGGGGUGGGUGGUCAUUGGUGUGUAGGGAUUUCUUCCGCAGCCUCUCAGGGUUGACUGCUAAACGUAAGCAGUGUCGUCUGAUGAGAGGUGGCAGCGAGGACUCCCUUGGCUCUGAAGAUAUUUCUUGUUACCUUUAGCACAAAGGGAACAACAAAUCAAUUCGUCUUCAAAGCAUCUCAGACUAAAAAGCUUUCAACCGUGCUGAAAAACUUACGAGGUGGAUAAUUGUUCCUUCCCUCUCCUUUGAAAGGAAUUGAAGAAGAAAUAAAAUGGCAGAGGCUUAAAGUUAAUAUUCAGGAUGAAUGAUGAUAAUUCAGAUGAUAAGACAGAAGAUGAAUUGCCAUCCUUAGCUAUCAGCGAUAAAAAUGGAAAUACAUAUGCAUAUAACCCAAAAUCGCCACCUACACGAAACCCAUCAACCGGAAACGUGAACUGGAAUUCUGCCAACCCAGAUGACAUGGUGGUCGAAUAUGGAACUGACCCUGCUGUGGGCAGUGGUGAAGAUAUUUCUUUAAAUCAUCAGCCUGUUGAAGUACUCAGUCACCAAAAGUCUUCGAGUGAUUUCCUUAGUAAGCCAGUGUUAGAUGUGCAUACAGAUUCCAUUCCUCAGUCUCCUGCAUUUGUUGUAAAUACAGAGAAAGGUGAGUAUCUGCCCAACAAUCGUCAUUCCCUAGAAGCGGUUCAGGACCAGAGUGUCAAGCUAUCUCUGCCUUUUGUGUGGAAGCCUGGUGAUGAUUUGAAUCAUGGAGACUGCUCUCCUUCGUUGGAGCUAAACCAGACAUUUGACAUGACAGGGGAUGAGAUUAAUUGCGCCAUUAUAUCACGUCACGCCAUUGAAAACAGUCACUCUUUGCCUUCCACUGGGAGUCUGCCACCCACCGGUAUGAAAAGCGGAAAUACAUCAUCUUUAUCCUAUUCCACUUGGGCGUCUUCCCAUUCUGAUACGAUGCAUGCAAGAAAAACUAGUGACGACAGAAGGAACUUUGAAAAACCUCAAGCCACUCCAGGAGAGGCUCAAGACACAACUUACACAGGAUUUUCUGAUGUCGUGAUGCAAACUGAGGUUUUUGUUCCAGAUAUUGAAGAUCAGUGUCAGUAUUCUGCCGGGAAGGUCACCAGUGAGUACACAGAUGGGUCACAGCAAAGACUAGCUGGAGAAAAAGAAAUACAAGCUCUAACACUAGUUUCUGAUGGCAUGGAAGUCCCCAACGGGUCUGCAUCACAGAAGUUCUUUUGUUUAUCUAAAGAUGAACCAAAGAGUGACACGCAUUCAUGGAGCUCAUAUGGGCAAAAGGAAAUGGGCCAAAAUCUGGGAGAGACAGUGUCCAAUUGUCCUGUUGAUGAUGAAUGCCCUUUAGUGGUGCCAGCUUUUGAUAAAAAUAAAGCCCAAGUGCUGAGUCCAGAGCCUAAGGUCACUGUGACUGAAGACACACAAAUUGCCUCCAAUGAAAAGGAUUCGGGAACCCAAAAUUGUACCUCAGAAUCGAUACUCAGUAGCUCGCCAGGACAAAACAUGGUUUCGCCAUUUGAACUGACUUGGGAGGCAGAGAACAUGGUCAUUAGCUCAAAUGACACGGUUUGCAUGUCGACACCAGUCCAGGAACCCACAAACAUAACCUUUUCUGUUUCACCUGUUGAAGCGACAGAGAAAUGUAAAAAAGUGGGGAAGGGUAAUCGAGAACUUAAAAAUGUGUCAACCUUGAAGGGGCCACCUAUGAACAUGUCUAAACCUAGUCUAGGAAAAUCAACAACCAAAACAAACACCCCAAUAGGCUGCAAAGUUAGAAAAACCGAAAUCAUAAGUUACCCAAGACCCAACUUCAAGAAUGUCAAAGCAAAGGUUAUGUCUAGACCAGUGUUGCAGCCCAAAGACCCUACCUUAUCAAAAGUCCCCCAAAGACCCCAGGUGACCAGUGCCUCUUCACCCUCAUCAGCAUCUUCCUCAAGACAGUUGACAGUUCUGAGCAAAACACCAAGAUCGGACCUGAGCACAGACACAAAAGCAGAAAUCCUCAUUAACAAGACGCACAAGCAGCAAUUUAAUAAACUCAUCACUGGCCAGGCUGUGCAUGUUACAACUCAUUCUAAAAAUGCUUCCCACAAGCUUCCAAGAACAACAUCUGCCAUGAAAUCGAAUCAGGAAGAUGUUGACAAAGCAAGUUCUCCUAACUCAGCCUGUGAGACUGGGGCCAUAGCUGCGUUUUUUCAGAAGAUCAAAGGCAUGCUCCCUGUUCAAAUGGAAAAUGCAGAAUGUUUGGAAAUGACCUACGUUCCCAGCAUCGAUGGGAUUAGCCCUGAAAAGAAGGGUGAAAAAGAAAAUGGGAUACCUAUGGAGAAACAAGAGCUAAAACAGGAAAUUAUGAAUGAGACUUUUGAAUAUGGUUCUCUGUUUUUGGUAAGUGAAUCUUUUUUUUUUCUUUUUCUUUUUUGGUAUGCUUUAAGAAAUGGUGGAGAAAACAGAGCAAGUAGUUAUCCGUUAGCCAACAGUAUUGCAGAACUAGAUUUGCAGAUUUGCUUUUGGGUGUUAAUUCUUGGUCUUGUCAGUUAGUGCAUAUUAGAGUGU